CCCACUGGGCUUCCACGGAGUCCUCCUAUUUCCUCCCUCAGACCUCCUUUACACCUCCAAGAUCCCCCCUGGGAACUCCCUGAACCCCAGGGAACCCCAUGUUCCCUGACAGGUCCCCAUCACCAUGCCAGGACCCCCAUAGCCCAUCUUUGGCCUCUCCUCCCCCUGACCUGCCUCCAGAUCCCGUACAACCUCCCGGUGCUGUGGCAUGGAUGGCUUCUGCAGGUGAGGAAUGAGGAGCUGGAGAAGGUGUAGGGCACAGAUGUGGGUGAAAGUGAAGUGGGUGGUACUGGGGAUACUGGGGAACACGGAUCAGAACAUGGGUGGAUUUGGGGAGGAUAAGGGGAUGUGGACCACAGCCUACAGGAGCAGAGUGCUUCACAGGAGAAGGCGAGGUGUGAGGUACAGGUGGGACUUGUGGGUGCGGGGACGUCAGGUGGCAUGGGUACGUGGGGGGUCUGGGGGCUCGUGGGGAGCGGUUUGGGGUCAGAACGGAGGAUGUGGAGUAGUGCUGGAGUGCAUUCAUUGAUUUCUUCCUGAGAGGGGAUUGGGUUCCCUGCAGCCCAAAGGUGGAGCCCUGAUCCAUAACCCCACAUGAGCCCAGUACCACAUACUACUCCGCGUGACCCCGAGGCUCCACAUGACCCAUAACCCUGUGAGCACCAUAACCCCAUAUGAGGCUGUGGGCAGGGAUGGGUCUGUUCCUGGCUUGUUCAGGGGGUACUAUAAGGUGGCUCUGGGGCCACUGUAGGUCAGCAGCCUGAAUAAUCCUCUGACGCUCAUCUUGCCCUCAUCUUGGGGGCCAAAUGGAGGUCGAGGGGUUUGUUGGGGGUAAGGAAGAGGCUCCAUGCGUGUAUCCCAUAGCUGCCCAGAGCAGCCCCAGAGCCAUCGUAGAGCUGCCCCAGAGCAGCCCCAUCACUGCCCGCAGCCCGUGGCCAGCAGCAGUUCCACCAGCAGCAGUGUGUUGGGUAAAGGCAGCUCCCAG
ensembl:lncRNA